AUACUGAUUGGAGAUGACGUGACAUUUGAUUUUGGAAAGAAAGGUGUUGGAAAGAAUGACCAGGAUGGCAGCGAGGGAUCGCCUGAGAUGUACAAUAUACCAUGACCUCAAUGGACAGUUUUACUGCUAG
rnacentral:misc_RNA from 1 species